GUGUCAGCCGCCGCGGUAAUACGUAGGGUGCAAGCGUUAAUCGGAAUUACUGGGCGUAAAGCGUGCGCAGGCGGUUAUGUAAGACAGAGGUGAAAUCCCCGGGCUCAACCUGGGAACUGCCUUUGUGACUGCAUAGCUAGAGUACGGUAGAGGGGGAUGGAAUUCCGCGUGUAGCAGUGAAAUGCGUAGAUAUGCGGAGGAACACCGAUGGCGAAGGCAAUCCCCUGGACCUGUACUGACGCUCAUGCGCGAAAGCGUGGGGAGCAAACAGGAUUAGAAACCCUCGUAGUCC
rnacentral:rRNA from 1 species